UACGUAGGGUGCGAGCGUUAAUCGGAAUUACUGGGCGUAAAGCGCACGCAGGCGGUCUUUUAAGUUUGACGUGAAAGCUCCCGGCUUAACUGGGAGAGGUCGUUGAAGACUGGAAGACUUGAGGCAAUGAGAGGGGUGUAGAAUUCCCGGUGUAGUGGUGGAAUGCGUAGAUAUCGGGAGGAACAUCGAUGGCGAAGGCAAUCACCUGGGCCUGAACUGACACUGUGACACGAAAGCGUGGGUAGCAAACAGG
rnacentral:rRNA from 1 species